rnacentral:rRNA from 1 species
UACGGAGGGUGCAAGCGUUAUCCGGAUUUACUGGGUUUAAAGGGUGUGUAGGCGGGCCUUUAAGUCAGUGGUGAAAUCUCCGGGCUCAACCUGGAAACUGCCAUUGAUACUAUUAGUCUUGAAUUUUGUUGAGGCAGGCGGAAUAAGUCAUGUAGCGGUGAAAUGCAUAGAUAUGACUUAGAACACCAAUUGCGAAGGCAGCUUGCUAAACAAAUAUUGACGCUGAGGCACGAAAGCGUGGGGAGCGAACAGG